rnacentral:rRNA from 1 species
UACGUAGGAUGCAAGCGUUGUCCGGAAUUAUUGGGCGUAAAGAGCGUGUAGGCGGUUUGGUAGGUCCGCUGUGAAAACUCGAGGCUCAACCUCGAGACGCCGGUGGAAACCAUCAGACUAGAGUCCGGAAGAGGAGAGUGGAAUUCCUGGUGUAGCGGUGAAAUGCGCAGAUAUCAGGAAGAACACCCGUGGCUAAGGCGGCUCUCUAGUACGGUACUGACGCUGAGACGCGAAAGCGUGGGGAGCGAACAGG